rnacentral:rRNA from 1 species
ACGCUCGACACCUACGGGAGGCAGCAGCGGGGAAUAUUGGGCAAUGGAGGCAACUCUGACCCAGCAACGCCGCGUGAGUGAUGAAGGUCUUCGGAUUGUAAAACUCUUUAAGUAGGGACGAAGAAAGUGACGGUACCUACAGAAUAAGCCUCGGCUAACUACGUGCCAACAGCCGCGGUAAUCUGAGCGGGCUGGCAAGGC